rnacentral:rRNA from 1 species
CAAUAGCGUAUAUUAAAGUUGUUGCGGUUAAAAAGCUCGUAGUUGGAUUUCUGUCAGUGAGUGAGGCUCCGCCCACCGUGGUGUGUAGUCCUCAUACCGCUGGCAUCUUCUUGGGGAGUGUAUCUGCACUUCACUGUGUGGUGCACAAGCCAGGACUUUUACUUUGAGGAAAUGAGAGUGUUUCAAGCAGGCGCACGCCCUGAAUACGUUAGCAUGGAAUAAUUUAAUAGGACUCUGGUGCUAUUUUGUUGGUUUCGAACACCGGAGUAAUGAUUAAAAGGGGCAGUCAGGGGCACUCGUAUUCCGUCGAGAGAGGUGAAAUUCUCAGACCAAUGGAAGACGAACCACUGCGAAAGCAUUUGCCAGGGAUGUUUUCACUGAUCAAGAACGAAAGUUAGGGGAUCGAAGACGAUUAGAU